rnacentral:rRNA from 1 species
UACAGAGGAGCCAAGCGUUGUCCGGAUUGACUGGGCGUAAAGCGCACGCAGGCGGAUGCGCGCGUGGGGUGUGAAAUCUGGCCGCUUAACGGCCAGGCGCCAUCCCAUACGGCGCGUCUGGAGUGAUGCAGAGGUCGAUGGAAUUGCCGGUGUAGUGGUGAAAUGCGUAGAGAUCGGCAGGAACACCCAGGGGGAAACCCGUCGACUGGGCAUCUACUGACGCUGAGGUGCGAGAGCGUGGGGAGCGAACCGG